GCAAGUCGAGCGCGAAAGCACUUCGGUGUGAGUAGAGCGGCGGACGGGUGAGUAACGCGUAGGAAUCUACCUGGUAGUGGGGGACAACCUGGUGAAAACCAGGCUAAUACCGCAUACGCCCUGAGGGGGAAAGCGGGGGAUCUUCGGACCUCGCGCUAUUGGAUGAGCCUGCGUUGGAUUAGCUGGUUGGUGGGGUAAAGGCCUACCAAGGCGACGAUCCAUAGCUGGUCUGAGAGGACGAUC
rnacentral:rRNA from 1 species